GUCCCCAGCAUCUUUGACAUCCCCGAAAAAGAAGCGGGCUCACCGGGAAGCGUCAUCAAAUAUCAGUCAUGCUACCAUUAAAUGAUCAUGAACGAGCGUAUACGACAAGCCAGGAACAUCAACGGCGGUGAACGUCAGCGAUGUUCACACAGUGUGCGAGGCCCAUGAGCUUGACAAAAAUCAGCCUGGUAAUAUGCUCAAAGAAAUCGAAGGCAUGUUUGCCUUCGACGAAUGCCAGCAGCGCUUACAGCAAUCCAGUCAAAGUCAUCGCGUGGGUGAAAAAACAGGGCCGCCUACAACCGCAAGCUACAGGUUACCUAAUUAUAGCGGUCACCGAAAAGAAUGCGUUUUAUUUUUUACUGUGCUCAAAUGGUUCAGGCGUAGCAUCGAUCGCUGUCCAGGCUGUCAGCGCUGAAGAGGCGCGCGUGACUGCCUUGUGCCAGGCGCGCGGGGGCCGAAUGCAAGCAAUACGCGCGACUGGUUGCCUUGGCAGCCGAACCAGCGGUAAUUUCUUUCUCGGCCGCCAGGUACCGCCAGCAUGAAAGUGGCUCCGCGGGCUUGUGACCUUUUCUGGUCGCCGCAAACAGCGGAGUUUCCACUCCUAAAUGUUUUUUGCUCCGUGUCCCCGAGUGACGCAGCAUAUGCUCCAUUAUGUUAUGUUCACUAUGGCUAGGAUGAAAGUUACAUUUAUGCUGCAGUUUCAUGUUUGUAUCGAGCACAGUUGACAACCUGAAGUAUUUUGAAAUGUAUUAGAAAAACAUAACAGUUUACGAAUUCAAAGACCAAAUCGAAGAGGACAACAUUCAAUUUGUUAUUUGAAUGUUUUGAAUAUUCGCACACCCUGUAAAAAAAGGAAUAGAAAUGAAUGAAAGACAUUACAUUCUACUGCUGCUGGAAAUGGUGGCUGCAUUCUGAAAGGGGCAGGAUGCAAAAGCAGCUGUGUACUUGAACACAUAGGUGCACAUUUGAGAACCCCAAUUUGGCAAAGCUAGUUUCAAGCAAUUCAUUAUGAUGCCGUCAUUGUCCUAUUGUCAGUUUUUCAACAUGGCAGCACUGAAGGAUUUUUGAGCAAGUUAUAGGUUCUGUCAUUUUCAAGACAUCGCACAGAUUUGCAAAUUGUUGGCACUAAGUCCCAAAUAACAAUGCUACACAAUGCUUUGAUUUAUGCAAGUGCAGUAAAUGUAUUUGUAUUACAUGUGCCUUUUCAUUUUAAUACUUGGGUGUACCGAAGAUAGUUAAAUUUUUUUUUGACAACUUCUGUUAGACAAACUCAUAUCAGACAAACAUAUAUUCUUGGUCCUUUCGAAUUUGUAUUAGGAAAAGUCUACUGCACAUGAUGUGAACUUUGUGCAGCGCUGCCACCUACGUAAUAACUGCAGUUUGCCCAUAUUGCUACCUCAUGGUGAACUGUGCGGAGUAUCAUGGAGGUAUUUAAUAGUCGCAAGGUGGUAGCUUGUGCUCAGUCGGUCCUUGUAACUCAUACCUACGUUACCCUUCUGAAUGAGAAGCAUAAACUUUGUUGUGCACUGUUGGAUCACUACACAGCAGACCUGUAUUUUGAGAGUUUCUUGAUUUUUUAGUCCCUUUCAGCAGCUGUCUAGGAGGCAACAUAUUACUUUGCUUGCAUUAGGGGAAUUAUUUUGAAUUCUAGUUUUGACAUAAUCAAGCAUUUGCAGAUUGAAUACACCCACUGGCAGACUCUGUGAGAAGACUGGCAGACUCUGUGAGAAGGACCCACUUAUGCAGAAGCGAUGGGAAGCAAAAUGCAGUGCUGGGGCUUUUGCCAGCCGCCAUUUUCACAACUACAUGCUGGACCCAUUCUGUUUUUGCUUGCUGAGAAGUUUAGAAAUUCAUAAGCAGGCUUUCCCCGUAAACAUAAUUAUGAUCAUUGUUUAAAGAGGUCCUGAAACACAUUUGUUAAAAAUCUGAGCAAUACUCUGGAAUGAGUACAACACCUUUAAAGAUAUAUAUAUUCCCGAAGAAAUUUCUGAAGAGGACCUAAUAUGAAUGAGUGAAACCUUUGAGAUCUGAAACUGAAGUCCCCCUCAACUCAUCAGUUCCUCUAGCUGUGGUAACACUAAGGGUGCCUAUCUCUUCUCUCUUUUUUAUUCUUCUUUCCAAGGUGUGCUCAUGGCCCUCCGAGGCUGGCAUCUGACAAAGGCGCCUCAAAGAAGUGACAUGAUAGAUCGGAUGCAUUCAUUAUGGCCACUUCCCCAUUUCAUAGAAAUCUGGAAAGGUGCAGUGCAUGCGUAUACCCAAUGGCAACUUAGGUCACCGGGUUGUCCAUGGCCUAAUAGUAGAGCAAUGGGCUGCGGGGUGUAGGGAACCUGGUUUGAAUCUAACCAACAUACGAACUUGGUGUCACUGCAUAUGUGCACCGCUCUUCAAUAGACUUCGUUGACACCAGCUUCGGUCACUGGGUAUGGAUUGUUCUUCAAUGAACUUCCUUGCACAACUUGGGUCACUGGUUAUGUUCGACUGGGUACAUGCCGCUCGUCAAUCAACCUAUUUGACGCCAACUUGGAUCACUGGGUAUGUUCUUCUCUUUAAUGACAAAAGUGAUCCCUUGAAAUUUUUUCAGUGCUGGGCGGAAUUGAACCCGCAUCAUAUAUAUUUAGACAUGCGUCAUGAGCGGACUUCAUUGUGCUGCUGCUAGAUGGCACAGCAUGUCCAGACAGCACACGCUGUAUACGUGGCGCGUUUCGGCGAUGGCAACAUGACGUAUCAGCACAUUGCUUCGCUGUUAAUCGCAUCAAUGCUGACAGUGAUGCAGAGAUGGUUUUCGCCAGAAUUUUUUUCACCUGGAUAAUGCAAAUGUGGUUAAGCCAAAUUUCCACUGCUGCCUAUGAUGCCUGUCAUUGGGCUCAGCGGGGGUAGCAGAAGGCCCAUGUUGGUAGACUUUCAGGAGGGGACUCUGCUAGCUGCAUGAGAAGCUAAUGGUGUUUUUGUGGGGGUGCCAAAUGAUGAGAUGAAAACGUGCAGGGUUGAUAAUUAUGGUAAGACAUUGCCCUGCAGCCACAAGAACCAGCGGAGUCGACAUAUGAUGUAGCUGAUAGCACCCUGAAUACCAUGGUGCAAUUUUUCAUCACUAAAGCACUAAAGAAUUUUGAGCAAACUAGGCAAAAUGUCAGCACUAAUGACAGCGUACAGGUCCCCAUAGAGUGCCAGCAAGCAACGAUAACUCAAUAUGCAAGAAUGCAUAAAGCAAUACUUUGCAUUAUGCAAAUACAAUAGAUGGCUUUAUUAAAUCUGGCUUUUAGCUUUAUUGAUGUCGCAUGUAUAUUUUGUGCCAUGAAUACCUGGGUGCAUCAGGAAUACUCGAUUUUUAGUUUUGUGGAUGAACUUUAUUAAGAGGAAAUUUUUUAUGGUCCCUUCCAAGUUUAUCUUAGCGGGAGUGUACAGUAGUAUGUUUUAUAGCUAUAGUUGCUCUGGCCCAGCACAACCAGUUCUGGGCCCAAGCAAUCACUACAAAAUAUUAUUGCAAUACCAGUUGAAACAGUGUGAAUUGAAAGUUCAGCUUCCUAUAACAUAGAUCAAUAUAAAAAAAAUUGCUGGCUCUCCCAUAAUCGAGAGUAGAUGUAAGCGUGAAAUGGCAACUGGCAAAGCAGACUGGUUGGAGAUGAUACUAGCCACAAUCUUAAGAUGGCUGUAGUACAUGUUCGCAAUGGCACACCACACCACACCAUGCCAUUUGCGCACUGGUCCAUUGGACGCUGCUCAGCUAGAAGAAGAAAACCGGCUGAAGUCGGCACGACAGGCAGCGAAAGACGCCAGGGAGACAGAGUGCAUUGCUCAGCUAGAAGAAAGAAAAUUGUCUGAAGGAGGUGCCACAAAACCUGCAUCACGGAACUCAUGAACCACUGACCUUCAAAAGAGCAUAGGCAACCCUGUCUCAGCACGAAAAGAUGACAAUGAAGUGUAUGGUGCCCUGUAUCUGCCUUUUGAAGGUUGCUAUUGUAAAUCAGAAAUAAAACUUCAGCGUAGAAGAAGUUACAGCUUGAGUGAUAUUGUGAACAAACAUUAGGAAGUACUCGGAAGCAAUAUUUUUUGUAACUUGUUUGGCCAGUAACUAGCAUGUGUAAUGCAGUCAUUUACAAAGGGUUGCGGGCCAGAGACCGCAGUUUCUCAAGUUUUGAAUGGUUGCCCCGAUGUUCUCGUUCGAGCGCCUGGAUAACAGCUCUGGCUUUUAGCUCAAGGUCAUUUCGAGGUCGCCGAUAACAGCAGCUAAAAGCAUUUCAUGCUUAAAAAAAACCAUACACUCAAGCUUGUGUGCCGAAGGAAAGCUAAUAAACAAGAAGCAGAGGCACAUCAUAAACAUUUAGAUUACAUUAUUUUGUUCAUUACACUUACCUUGUUCCAUAUUUUUGUCCUGAUGCAGGCUACUGUGAGCCUACUGUAAAGGUCAUUAGCAGUUGGGACAUUAAAACAUCUCUUCAAUUCUGUCUCUUUGGGAUUAAGUGGUGCCACGAAAAUGGUGCUUGAAAGGGUGUUAUUGUCGAAUAUUAUAUAAUGAAUAGUACGGACCAUUUUUAGUUUCUGGCAAGUAAAGAAUGUAAAAAUGUUUUAUUGAUAAGGGGUGCUGUCUGCUUUGUAUACCUAAAGAAUGAUAAUCUGGAGUACUCUUUUCUCAGCUUAAUUGCAGGAUCAAGACAAAUUGAAUAAGACUACCCCCUGUUGAAAUAUAUAAUUCUUCACAUGCACGUAGAAAAUAUUACGGAUGUGCCUGAUAAAAAGUAAAUCAUGCAUCACAGAGCCUGCUGCAAACAUUCCUGGUUGGCAAAGAUGAGGCGUGGAAAGCCACUUGGAGAUCGUCUACGUAUACAGAGACGAUGAUGUUAAACAGAGGCAGUAUGGAUACAUGUGAGUAAUUUUCAUAAUUUCCAACUUUUCAAACAAAGGCAGAGAUGGGUGAUCUCGAGGAACACAGAGAACAUGUCGCAACAUUCUUUUCUGCAUUGUAAGAAUUUUACGUAAAUUUGUAACAGUCAUAGUUCCCCAAACUAAAUGUGCAUAACUAAUAUGAGAGUGAAAUAAUGCAUUGUAAAGAAUAACCUUGAACUGCACAGGCAGCAUCUCUUUAUUAAUGUACGUAACUCCUACGACACUUGAAAUCUUAGAAACAUGUUCCACGUGGUCUUCCCACGUUAAGUUCUCAUUGAACACAACGCCAAGAAUUUUGAAUGCACGGAGUAUUUCUAUUUUUGAAUCACCUAACAAAAGAUCUGUAUUUAUAAGAACGCUCUUAUUUCUCGGGCGGAAAAGUAUGGCUUUCAUCUUGGCUGUGUUUAAUUUUAAUGCAUUAGCACUUGACCACUCAUGCAAAUGCAAUAGUGAGCUAUUUGCUUCAGAAAUGAGGUCAUUUAGACAUGCAGCUGAGAAAAGCAUAGUCAUGUCAUUGGCAUAAAUGAUAUGUUUAAUCUUCCGAUUAAUACAUAUAAUGUCAUACAAAUAGAUAUUAAAUAAAAGUGGUCCAAGGAUACUUCCCUGAGAUACUCCUGAUGUUAUUUUGUCUGAAGAGAAACCAUUGAGGUAGACAUAUUGUUGUCGAUUUUCUAAAUAAGAUGCUAAUAGUGCUAGUGCAUUACCAUGGAUUCCAUAUGUAUCUAAUUUUUUUUAGUAAGAUCAAAUGUUUAAGAAAAUCAAACGCUCUUGUGAAGUCUACAAAAACACCCUGUGCUACUUCUUUUUUACAAAGGAGAUUAAAAUAAAUUCUUUCUGCUCCAGUUAAGCCUGUUCCAUCGACCUGUGUUUACGGAAGCCAAAUUCAUUAUUUUGGUUUAAAUUACUUUUUCCAGUCCUUUAGCGAAAAUAGGGAGUAUGGACACGGGUCUGUAAUUUCCAAUGUCAUUUUUAUCACCCUUUUUAUAGAGCACUGUCACCCUAGCAACCUGCAAUCGUUUCGGAAACACUCCCUGUAAAAAACACAGAUUAAAUAUGUGAUUUAGGCACGGUGAAAUUAGCAAUUACAUGUUUGACAGGUGCAACUUUUAUAUCGUCUGCGUCGCUGCUUUUACUGUCAUUUAGUCCUCGGAAUGCCGAAAUGAACGCCGAACGCCUUGAUAAUGCCCAUCAAGCUGCCAUCCUUUCCAGCUCACUGUUACGUCCUUUUUCUCACCCCCACAGUGUGUGGGUCGCUCCUUCAUAUGGCUUUCGGGCUUUAUACGGAACAUCAUGAUGACGACAACAGCGAAAAUUUGCCUGGAGUUUCAAUAUAAUUUCCAUUGCAAAUCGCAAUAAAAUAAUAAAAAAAAAAUUUAAAAACUUGCGUCGAGCUCAUUUCUACUGUGGCUGUGGAUGUCACAAUGUGCCCCGGUUACAAGCCCCGGUUACAAACACAGCACGAGUACCAGCGACAAAGCCAACAGUGGGCAAGUCGCUUAUCGGUACUUCACCAGAGCCCAUCUGACACUGAAAGGGAAGCGUAUUUUCCACCGUAUAAGCAUCAGUGGCUACAUGACACUAGGCGCACAGCGAGACGUCACAUGCAAUCCACACUGUUCCUACUCGCUCUCGUGCCCUUUCGUGCUUCGGAGAUAUUGCUGUAUCUUAUUUAUGGAUUUAUUUGUUAACACGGUUGUUUAUUUGUUUGCCUGAUGAUUUAUUGCUCUAUAAUCCUUUAUUCCGGCGCCGGGAAAUAAACGGACCCAAUGGCAUAAGGCAUGCUAUGACAAGUAAUGAAACCUGCGUUAUGGAGUCAGACUGCUUUAUGGUAACAAUUCUAGCCAUAAAUUGUUAUAUAUAAGCCGUAAUUUUUAUAUAUGUUAUGUCUCAUCUUCUCAACUGACCUAUCGGCAGGAAAAUAUUUCUUGAUUGUAUCUUUUGUAUCUUUGUGUGCAUAUAUACAGUGAAAGCUCAUUAAUUUGAACUUCAAUAAUUCGAAUUUAUGGAUAAUUCAAACUGUACGAUUUGGUCCGGUCAAGCUCCACAGAAGUCUAUGCAUAAAUAAGCCCAUUAAUUCGAACGUGAGAAGGUUCCGCCACGGAUAAUUCAAACUACGUGCCGGCGGCUUGACGCCUGGCAGAUGGCCAGAGAAAUGCGCCUACUGCCUACAAACAAGGCUGCGUUGCCUCCGGAACGAGAAAAAUCUAACCAGCGCGGGGUCGGCCAGAAAGCAGCGGCGGCUGCCUCCUCUCUGUUCUACGUUGACCUCCGAGACUUCUUGCCCGUCGCAAAUCUCGGGGGGCUUUGCAAAUCUCAUUUGCUGACUAUGUGGACGUGGACGAGAGUGCAGUGGUGUGUAGAGCGCUGACAGAUGAGGACAUAAUUUCUCAGGUCAGAAGCGUUCAACCUGUCGCUGCCAGUGACGACGAGGUGGAGGAAGACGAAGCGCCAGUGCGGCCCUCCGCUGCAGAGGUCAUGGCUGGAUUGAAUGCCGCCCGCCUCUUCUUCAGUUUUGAAGAAGGCGAAGAGGAGGCCUUCCGCCACAUUCGCGCAUUAGAGCAAAAAGCGCUAGCUGUCGCCUUCAAGGAAAAAAGGCAGACUACGAUCACGGACUUUUUCAAGCAUUAAAUUUCUGACAUGCCCUACUGCUUCCAAAUCACAGUGUACUGUUGUUCUCCUUCACUUUCGUUAGUUCGAACUGAAGCGGCUUCCCCUUGCGGUUCGAAUUAACGAGCUUUUACUGUAUAUAUAAUAAAGAAAAAGAGAGUACGACAUAUGUUGGAUUUGCACAGUAUAUUUCACUGACAUUUCGGCUGGUGGAUCAGCCUUUGUCAAUGUUUCGGCUGGUCCACCAGCCGAAACGUCAUUGAAAUUACUGUGCAAAUCCAACGUACGCUGUACUCUCUUUUUGUUCAUUUUACUAAAGGGCCAGCGUAAUUUCCUCAGCCAGAACUAUAUAUAUGGGGGUGGUUCGGAAAAAGCCAUUCUAGCCUCCUUUAUACAGGUUUCUGCGUUUAUAGCCAUUUCUCAAGACUAUAGAAAACUUUUGUUAGUAUGGAUUAUCUGAAAAGCAAUCCUACGUUUUCUUGAACUAUUUACACGAACACUCACUACGUAUAGCAGUUUCAUGAACAUUUCACCUGUGUAUGAACUUCCCAGUCAUUUUCUAUGCCUAUUUGCUCAAAAGCAGCCUAUUUAUCCAAAGGACUUAACAAUGAAUGUUCGACAAUGUAGAGUUAACAGCAAAAGCUUGCGGACCCCAUGAGUGCAUGCCCAACCCCCUUUCUGCCGUUUCAAGUAGCGCUAGGCUAGAAAUAUGUCCUUGUGUUGCUCGAUUUUCUUGCUGCUGCACAAGGCUUUUCUAUUUCUCUUUGUCAUGCAACGCACUCUUCAGCAGCCGUGACAAUGUGCUACCUCAACAGUAAUAUCACUGGAACCAAUAUCAGCCACGUGCCACUGGGCUGGUACCAGCAUCAGCCACGUGCCACUGGGCUGAUACCAAUAUCAGCCACGUGCCACUGGGCUGAUAUCAGUGCAUGCUGCUGGGUUAGGAACUUGAGAAUAAGGAAGUAAAAAAACGUCACACAACCCAGGAAAACUAACACACCUGAAAAGGAAGGGAAAAAAAUAAAUAAGAGGACACAUCUCCAGCCUAGCAGUUCUCUUGACGGUAGAGGUAUUGCGGAGAGGCAGCUGGGCAGUCACACAUGGUUUGGAAAUCUUUGUGGUUGACUGUACCUACAGAAUUUGGCACCAGUAUUAUCAAACAACGAGUGACAAGCUGCAGCAAGGAGUCCAUGCUUGCUAUAUUAGACAUGCAAUGAAAACUUAACGCAGUGUGGUGAGUGAAGCACAUGAGGCCAAGAAUGUGUGGCUGUGAGUGCAGCUCUUCAGAAAAGAUGACGAAGAGAACCAAGCACAAGGACACGUGCAGCAAGACAAAAAUAAAAGCAAAGGAAGCCAAUUGUGGAAGCUAACGAAGCCCCACCAAACGAUCGGAGAAACACAUGAGGCCUAAGGAAAAUAAAAAGAUGAAGUGCAUUGUAGAACAGGGGUGGAGUUCCAGGAAGCGAUUCAGGAAGGUCGGCCACCGAACCAGGAGCUGAAUACAGCCCACGGGCUGUCAGAUUCUUCUAAAUGACAGCCUGUGAUGUGUAGCUUUUAUUGCUUCAUGUGAUAUCGUAUUUUCCUGGUUAAGUAGAGGUUGUUGGUUCUGUGUUUGCAUCUUAAAGUCAUGAAGGACGAAGUGUCUGGCAGUUUCCCAAGAUGUCUUCAGUGCUCUAGGUGAUGAACAGCUAGCCAGCAUAAAAGAAAUUGUGAAAGUAUUGACUUACAUGUCGGGAAAGCUCGCAUCUGCAGCAGGCAUAAGGAAUGAUGCUGGUCGAACUAGUGGCCGGCGAGAGCCAUUGAAUUUCAUUAAUGAGGGUUUCGAGCACUUCAAAAAAGAAGUCGACGACUUCUGAUGUGAACUUGCUGAGGUGAAGGUGCAUAGUCCCCAACAAAAAGCGAGCUAGCAACUUCACAAUCAACUGAAAUUGGUGAAAGCCAAACUGAUUGAACUCAAACAACAUAUAGUAAGGGCAUGUACACUGAAAUCGGGGUCCUUCCCAUCAUUCCAAAGGCGAUCUUAGAGCGGCCAUGAAUAACAUAGCAAGCUGUCUUGGGAUCCCCGUUCCUGAGAAUGACAUUGCUGUUAUGCAUCGGGUGCCAUCCAAGGAUAAGGCUAAACCUAAUGAGGUGGUAAAAUUCUUAAGAAGAAAAUCUCGUAAGAAAAUUUGAAGUGCAGCUAGGAAGAUGAAGCUUAACACCAGUUGCUUCGGGCUUGCAGGUGAUGACCCGACUUGCAUAAAUGAGCACUUUUGUCCCGAGAAUAAGGAUCUCCUUGGAAAGGCUCGUCUUUCGAGAUUGGAGUGCAAGUGGAAGUUUGUCUGGGUAUCCAGGGGCACGAUUAUCAUGUGCAACGCAGAAAAUUCACCAGUGCUGUGUGUUACGUAUGAAGAUGACAUAGCAAAUCCGGUGAAACAAAAAAGCAUUCAGCCGAGUGUUCCCUCCCAAAUUCAUAAUGCCGUACAAUUUUGUUUAAAGUAACGAUACCCCUACAAUAUUUCAUUGCAACAUUCGCAGUUUUAAAAAAAUUUGGGUUCCUUGAUCUCUUGUAUACACGAGAUGAUUUUGAUUAUGAUAUUGUAGCUGUCAGCGAAACUGGGCUCAAAUGAAACUAAUCAAUUCCUAUACAGAGUUACAAACUGCAGUUGCUACCUCAUGACUUAUGUUCCCAAGGUGGAGGCACAGGCCUUUUGUGAAGGCUGAGAAGGCUUACCAGGUUCUAACGUUGCAAUGUGCUUGUAAUGAUAUAUUGGAGGCUUUGUUCAUAAAAAUUAGUCGCGGUCCAAUAGUAGGGGUCGUUUAUUGCCCCCCGAGCUCAUCAGCACAAUCCUUUCUCGAGUAGCUUGAGGCUGCCCUUGAAGACUUGUCUCAUGGUCAUUGCAACUACAUCGUGAGAGUCGGCCGCAUUAAUAUUGACAUGUCCUAUGAUAACUACACUAAUUAUAGCCUUCUAUUGCAACCAUUUAACCUGGAAAAUUUUAUAACAGAGGCAACACAUGUCACGAGUACUUCUAGUACACUGAUUGAUCAUGCCUUUUUCAAAUGUGAAAAUGAUGUGUAUGCGGGCAUUUAUACUAUUCCCAUAACAGAGGGCGCCCAUCUUUGUUGUUAUUGAUAAGUGUUUGCAUUUUGAUGUCGUACAGUUUCGUUCUAAUGCAUUCAUGCACGAAGAUAGAUUACACUGUUCGGGAAAAGCUAGAAUGAAUAGACUUUUCCAUGUUUUAUGACAAUGUUAACAGAGAAUAUGAGACGUUUGUUGAUGCGCUCACAUCUGCUGUACUAGAAAUCUCUCGUAAGAAUUUAUGUGGUCAGUAUGAGAAGCCUGUCUGCCCAUGGAUGACUCUUUUGUAAAACAACGAAUACUAUUACAGUGAAAAAACAAUGAUUACUAUUACAGUAGUUUCCAAACUUUCCAAAAUGAACUGGCAUCCACAAUCUUCCACAACAGAAACAAAAGAGUAUUACAGCCAGCUUAUGAAACAAGCAAGUGGAAAUACAAUUAAACCCCUUUAUAAUGAUAUCAGUCUUAACAAUGAGAAGCUACUGCACCACCAAAUUUUGUGUUUUUCAUGGUGAAAUAACCCACUUACUACAAUGGUCUAAUGCUGCAUUAUCGGUCAUUACGAUAAAGCCGUGCCGAAAAGUAGUGAAAUGCAAAAUCCUAAAAAAAAAAAAAAAAAACCAGAUAACAGACAGACAGACAGACUAGAUAGAUAGAGAAAUUCGAGCCACUGAACAAUGGCCCGCUGCCGCAACAGCCACUGCGCGCUCAUUUUCCAGCCUUCUCUGUGCGCCUCUCUCUCGUCGCUUUUCCACGCCUCCGAACAUGAGUGGGCCGAGCCCUUAGCUCUAUGCCGCGCCACCCUCUUAAACACGUAUGGACCGCACCAACUGUGCUGCUCCCAGGUUGCUCGCUGGUUCCUCAUUCAGCGCAGUUCUGCAAACAGCUUAAUCGCUCAUGUUCAUCAUAGUUGGUUGUGUCGAAAUCCUUUCUGGCCACGCAGUUUCUCAGCCUCGUUUGACUCGCCGCCGAAACGGAAGAUGGCUGAUCCGCCCGCUGAUCAUUGGCAAUGCACGACGUUGCCGGUGAAAAGAAAGCGCACGGCUAUAAAUUUGGAAGCUAAGUGCUUCUAACCGAUGAGGCGAUCGUUGCGAAUGAGCUUGCAUCGGAUAACGACGGCGACAAUGGCAGUGAUGUGUGUACACAGUAGGGCAGGCUACCUCAACGUUGUUCUCACAGGAGGCCCAGCAGAUGAUUCAGUCCCCUCCUGGUGCUUCGUUUUCACGAGGAACCUUCCGCUGCACUACACGGAGUACCUGGAUGCCUUGGAGAAGGACGUCACCAAGCUUCGCGUAAAGCAUGCAAUGCUGAUGGACAUAGGGUUGUCUCGUGCAAGCCAGUGAAAAGUACGCGGCGAGAUGCUUGUGGUGAUCUCGCCUCAGCGUUUCUUUCGGAUUUCUCAAGCUGAUAGGCUGCCGCGGCAACCUUCUCGC